AGAGUUUGAUCCUGGCUCAGCCUGAACGCUGGCGGCGUGGCUAAGACAUGCAAGUCGUACGGUGUAGCAAUACACAGUGGCGAACGGGUGAGUAAUGAAUCGCUAAUGUACCCCGGACUUUGGGAUAGCUGCCCGAAAGGGCAGGUAAUACCAGAUAAUAUAACUCUGUCGCAUGAUAGAGUUCUCAAAGGUCCGCCGGU
rnacentral:rRNA from 1 species